rnacentral:rRNA from 1 species
UAGGGAAUCUUCCACAAUGGACGCAAGUCUGAUGGAGCAACGCCGCGUGAGUGAAGAAGGUUUUCGGAUCGUAAAGCUCUGUUGUUGGUGAAGAAGGAUAGGAGUAGUAACUGGUUUCUAUUUGACGGUAAUCAACCAGAAAGUCACGGCUAACUACGUGCCAGCAGCCGCGGUAAUACGUAGGUGGCAAGCGUUGUCCGGAUUUAUUGGGCGUAAAGCGAGCGCAGGCGGAAUGAUAAGUCUGAUGUGAAAGCCCACGGCUCAACCGUGGAACUGCAUCGGAAACUGUCAUUCUUGAGUGCAGAAGAGGAGAGUGGAACUCCAUGUGUAGCGGUGGAAUGCGUAGAUAUAUGGAAGAACACCAGUGGCGAAGGCGGCUCUCUGGUCUGCAACUGACGCUGAGGCUCGAAAGCAUGGGUAGCGAACAGG